rnacentral:rRNA from 1 species
GACGAACGCUGGCGGCGCGCCUAACACAUGCAAGUCGAACGGAGCUGAGAGUAGCUUGCUUUUCUUAGCUUAGUGGCGAACGGGUGAGUAACGCGUGAGUAACCUGCUCUGGAGUGGGGGACAACAGUUGGAAACGACUGCUAAUACCGCAUAAGCCCACGAUCCGGCAUCGGAUUGAGGGAAAAGGAUUUGUUCGCUUCAGGAUGGACUCGCGUCCAAUUAGCUAGUUGGUGAGGUAACGGCCCACCAAGGCGACGAUUGGUAGCCGGACGGAGAGGUUGAACGGCCACAUUGGGACUGAGACACGGCCCAGACUCCUACGGGAGGCAGCAGUGGGGGAUAUUGCACAAUGGGGGAAACCCUGAUGCAGCGACGCCGCGUGGAGGAAGAAGGUUGUCGGAUUGUAAACUCCUGUCGUUAGGGACGAUAAUGACGGUACCUAACAAGAAAGCACCGGCUAACUACGUG